rnacentral:rRNA from 1 species
AGCAGCCGCGGUAAUUCCAGUUCCAAUAGCGUAUAUUAAAGUUGUUGCAGUUAAAAAGCUCGUAGUUGAAUUUCGGGAUCUGUCCAUUGGUCGGGCCUCACGGUCCGUACUGGUGUGAUGGGUUCCUACCUUCUGAAUAACCAGCAUGCCAUUCAGUUGGUGCGCUGGGGAAGCAGAGCUAUUACCUUGAAAAAUUAGAGUGCUUAAAGCAGGCUAGUGCUUGAAUAGAUUAGCAUGGAAUAAUAAAAUAGGACGGCAUGGUUCUAUUUUGUUGGUUUCUAGGAUCACCGUAAUGAUUAAUAGGGAUAGUUGGGGGCAUUAGUAUUCAAUUGUCAGAGGUGAAAUUCCUGGAUUUAUUGAAGACUAACUUCUGCGAAAGCAUUUGCCAAGGAUGUUUUCAUUAAUCAAGAACGAAAGUUAGGGGAUCGAAGACGAUCAGAUACCGUCGUA